rnacentral:misc_RNA from 1 species
AAGUCGUAACAAGGUUUCCGUAGGUGAACCUGCGGAAGGAUCAUUAACACGUAUCCAAACGUUAAAACCCCCCCCGUGAACCUUCAUCCUGCUCUUGUAACCCGCGUAGUUCGCAAUCUCUGAUAAAUCAUAGCCCGGAAAGUUGUAGUGAUUCAGAGACCUCUGGCUACGUGCGAACAUUGGAACAGUUACAAUCGAGCGGUAGUUCUAUAGGCAAUGUUUCCCCAAGCAGUCAGUGUCGGAAAGUGUCAUUGAUUGUGCAAGGAUAGCGCUUCUACGAUUGUACAUUGAGCUUCACAUUAAACUGUGGGGUUAUUAGGGGGCAUGGGGACCCUUUGGCAAAGCUCCUGCCCGAUACAUUGGGUAAAAAAACCGAACAACUGUUAACAAUGGAUAUCUUGGUUCUC